UACAGAGGUCUCAAGCGUUGUUCGGAUUCAUUGGGCGUAAAGGGUGCGUAGGUGGCGCCAUAAGUCAGGUGUGAAAUCUCGGGGCUCAACCCCGAAACUGCACUUGAUACUGUGGUGCUUGAGUACUGGAGAGGAGAUUGGAAUUUACGGUGUAGCAGUGAAAUGCGUAGAUAUCGUAAGGAACACCGGUGGCGAAGGCGGCGAUCUGGGUCGAUACUGACGCUGAGGUGCGAAAGCGUGGGGAGCAAACAGG
rnacentral:rRNA from 1 species